CGAACGGGUGAGUAACGCGUGAGGAACCUGCCUCAAAGAGGGGGACAACAGUUGGAAACGACUGCUAAUACCGCAUAAGCCCACGGGUCGGCAUCGACCUGAGGGAAAAGGAGCAAUCCGCUUUGAGAUGGCCUCGCGUCCGAUUAGCUAGUUGGUGAGGUAAUGGCCUACCAAGGCGACGAUCGGUAGCCGGACUGAGAGGUUGAACGGCCACAUUGGGACUGAGACACGGCCCAG
rnacentral:rRNA from 1 species